rnacentral:rRNA from 1 species
GUCGGGAAUUUUGGGCAAUGGGCGAAAGCCUGACCCAGCAACGCCGCGUGAAGGAUGAAGUAUUUCGGUAUGUAAACUUCGAAAGAAUAGGAAGAAUAAAUGACGGUACUAUUUAUAAGGUCCGGCUAACUACGUGCCGAGCAAGCCGCGGUAAUACGUAGGGACCAAGCGUUGUUCGGAUUUACUGGGCGUAAAGGGCGCGUAGGCGGCUUGACAAGUCACUUGUGAAAUCUCUGGGCUUAACCCAGAACGGCCAAGUGAAACUGUCAUGCUAGAGUGCAGAAGGGGCAAUCGGAAUUCUUGGUGUAGCGGUGAAAUGCGUAGAUAUCAAGAGGAACACCUGAGGUGAAGACGGGUUGCUGGGCUGACACUGACGCUGAGGCGCGAAAGCCAGGGGAGCAAACGGGAUUAGAUACCCCUGUAGUCCCUGAGCGGGCUGGCAAGGCGCAU